AUCAUGCGCACUGACGUCCAAGUCAUAUUACAUAUGAUGGAAAUGAUGUCUAAUUAUUUUCGAUCUAAUCAGGGGUUAAAGAUGAACCAGGGAGUGGAGCUUAGGGUCAAAAUCUUGUCUCUUGAGCAUGUGGACCACAAAGUGGCAACACAAGGCUUUGUACCUCAGGUUCCAAUCAAUCAACAAGACAAUAGCCUUGUUUCCUCGGUGACGGCAGCUUUUUUCUAGAACAAUUUCUAAACAAGGCAGAUUUGAGAACUUGGGGCACAAUCCGAUUUUUGAAUUCUCUGACGUCAAAACGAAGGCAGCGUGCUCAAAUCCUUCUGAAUGAGAAAUCAAUAGAAAUUGCAAAUCGGUAGGUUGAACAUAUCGUUCGGAGGGCCUCAAAAAGUUGAAGUGUUCGGUGAUAUUGCCGCAGUGUUGGAGAUGAACAUUGUUGUCCAUGGAUCGCAUGGAAUAUUAUAUGUUUCCCCCGACCUAUGCUCCUCAACGACCUAGCUUGAACUUGUUCUUGAGGCCAGAUGGUGUGGAUUGCAUUGCUCACAUAUCAGUAAUCAAAUACAUGUCAUUGUUUGAAAAGUCCAUGAAGAAGCCAUGUUCUUUCUGUAGAAGCGUGUUCCAUUAUCGAAGUACUCACUCUUGUGAGAAAAGCAAGCCUUGUCUGAAGUGCAAGAGACCGAUUUUGCUUGAGGACUAUUUCAACGGACCAAGUAUGAAAAAUACUUAUUGUCCCUCUACUUUGACGGAAUCCAAUUGGAAGCUAAAAUGUCAACAUGGUGGUCACGAAUUUCAGGGCUGUUUCAUGAAAGGUCAUGAACGAGAAAAUUGCAAAAUCUUUCCAACGAACUUGUGUCGGUUAGAGAAAAAUAUUUUUGGGCUCGACUAUGCAUCUUGCCAAGCAACGAUGAACCUUGUUCCCACCGACAUUGAGGUAACUGAGUCUGGGAGUGCGAGCUUAAAUUUAACCAAGGUUACCAACACUUUGUCCAAUACGAGUUCAAGGAGAAGCCAUUGACAAGACUUCGCCCGGAAGACGCCCUUUCUGACUUUCUGGCGGCGUCAACGAGAUUAUACAACUUCAUUGGACUGUGAAAAAGAAACCCGAUGAGAGGUUUGUGGCGUAUG